rnacentral:misc_RNA from 1 species
GUGGGAGGGGGCUUGCUCCCGAUAGCGAUGUAUCAGUCAGACAUUUAUCGACUGACUGACCGCAAUCGGGAGCAAGCCCCCUCCCAC